UACGAAGGUGGCAAGCGUUGUUCGGAUUUACUGGGCGUACAGGGAGCGUAGGCGGUUGGAUAAGCCCUCCGUGAAAUCUCCAGGCUUAACCUGGAAAGUGCAGAGGGGACUGUUCAGCUAGAGGAUGGGAGAGGAGCGCGGAAUUCCCGGUGUAGCGGUGAAAUGCGUAGAUAUCUGGAGGAACACCGGUGGCGAAGGCGGCAUCCUGGACCAACACUGACGCUGAGGAGCGAAAGCCAGGGGAGCAAACGGG
rnacentral:rRNA from 1 species